GCUAAGAUUUCUUCGAACAUCUGUUUGCAAGCAUACGUUCGGCCUUCACUGGUUGGCUAUGUAAGCAAGCGCUUUACCUUGAGAAAAUUAGAGUGUUCCAGGCAGGCUUCAGCCGGAAUACAUUAGCAUGGAAUAAUGGAAUAGGACUGGGGACUAUUUAUUGGUUUGAGGCUCCAGUAAUGAUUAAUAGGAACAGUCGGGGGCAUUGGUACUUAACAGUCAGAGGUGAAAUUCUUGGAUUUGUUAAAGACUAACUAAUGCGAAAGCAUUUGCCAAGCAUGUUUUCAUUAAUCAAGAACGAAAGUUAGGGGAUCAAAGACGAUUAGAUACCGUCCUAGUCUUAACUGUAAACGAUUCCAUCUUAGAAUUGGGUGAAUAUUUGAUGAUUCAUCCAGCGCUAUAAGAGAAAUCAAAGUCUUUGGGUUCUUGGUGGAGUACGAUCGCAAGAUUGAAACUUAAAGGAAUUGACGGUUUUGCACACCAUGGAGUGGAGCCUGUGGCUUAAUUGUACAACACUGGGAAACUCA
rnacentral:rRNA from 1 species